rnacentral:rRNA from 1 species
UCCUGUCCAACGUUAAUCGGGGCAGGGUGAGUCGACCCCUAAGGCGAGGCCGAAAGGCGUAGUCGAUGGGAAACAGGUUAAUAUUCCUGUACUUGGUGUUACUGCGAAGGGGGGACGGAGAAGGCUAUGUUGGCCGGGCGACGGUUGUCCCGGUUUAAGCGUGUAGGCUGGUUUUCCAGGCAAAUCCGGAGAAUCAAGGCUGAGGCGUGAUGACGAGGCACUACGGUGCUGAAGCAACAAAUGCCCUGCUUCCAGGAAAAGCCUCUAAGCAUCAGGUAACAUCAAAUCGUACCCCAAACCGACACAGGUGGUCAGGUAGAGAAUACCAAGGCGCUUGAGAGAACUCGGGUGAAGGAACUAGGCAAAAUGGUGCCGUAACUUCGGGAGAAGGCACGCUGAUAUGUAGGUGAAGCGACUUGCUCGUGGAGCUGAAAUCAGUCGAAGAUACCAGCUGGCUGCAACUGUUUAUUAAAAACACAGCACUGUGCAAACACGAAAGUGGACGUAUACGGUGUGACGCCUGCCCGGUGCCGGAAGGUUAAUUGAUGGGGUCAGCGCAAGCGAAGCUCUUGAUCGAAGCCCCGGUAAACGGCGGCCGUAACUAUAACGGUCCUAAGGUAGCGAAAUUCCUUGUCGGGUAAGUUCCGACCUGCACGAAUGGCGUAAUGAUGGCCAGGCUGUCUCCACCCGAGACUCAGUGAAAUUGAACUCGCUGUGAAGAUGCAGUGUACCCGCGGCAAGACGGAAAGACCCCGUGAACCUUUACUAUAGCUUGACACUGAACACUGGUCCUUGAUGUGUAGGAUAGGUGGGAGGCUUUGAAGUGUGGACGCCAGUCUGCAUGGAGCCGUCCUUGAAAUACCACCCUUUAAUGGCUGGUGUUCUAACGUAGGCCCCUUACCGGGGUUGCGGACAGUGUCUGGUGGGUAGUUUGACUGGGGCGGUCUCCUCCUAAAGAGUAACGGAGGAGCACGAAGGUUGGCUAAUCCUGGUCGGACAUCAGGAGGUUAGUGCAAUGGCAUAAGCCAGCUUGACUGCGAGCGUGACGGCGCGAGCAGGUGCGAAAGCAGGUCAUAGUGAUCCGGUGGUUCUGAAUGGAAGGGCCAUCGCUCAACGGAUAAAAGGUACUCCGGGGAUAACAGGCUGAUACCGCCCAAGAGUUCAUAUCGACGGCGGUGUUUGGCACCUCGAUGUCGGCUCAUCACAUCCUGGGGCUGAAGUAGGUCCCAAGGGUAUGGCUGUUCGCCAUUUAAAGUGGUACGCGAGCUGGGUUUAGAACGUCGUGAGACAGUUCGGUCCCUAUCUGCCGUGGGCGCUGGAGAACUGAGGGGGGCUGCUCCUAGUACGAGAGGACCGGAGUGGACGCAUCACUGGUGUUCGGGUUGUCAUGCCAAUGGCACUGCCCGGUAGCUAAAUGCGGAAGAGAUAAGUGCUGAAAGCAUCUAAGCACGAAACUUGCCCCGAGAUGAGUUCUCCCUGAGACUUUAAGUCUCCUGAAGGAACGUUGAAGACGACGACGUUGAUAGGCCGGGUGUGUAAGCGCAGCGAUGCGUUGAGCUAACCGGUACUAAUGAACCGUGAG